AACACAUUUUUUUAUUCUUAUUGUUCAUAAUCCGUCAAAAAUUAUUUAUAAUAUUUUAAAUUUAUAGAUCAUGAACUAUCAUCACAAAAGGCAUUAGGAAAUAAAUCAACAAGUGAAAACAACCACUUAAAAGUUCAAAUUAACUUCCAAAAGUGCAACGAAAGCAAUUGAUGAAGAAAAUAGUAAACAUUCUUCCACUUCAGAUGACGAAAGUUGUAACCUUGCAACAACGAAAAA